rnacentral:rRNA from 1 species
UACGUAGGUGGCAAGCGUUGUCCGGAUUUACUGGGCGUAAAGGAUGUGUAGGCGGAUACUUAAGUGAGAUGUGAAAGCCCCGGGCUUAACCUGGGGACUGCAUUUCAAACUGGGUAUCUAGAGUGCAGGAGAGGAAAGCGGAAUUCCUAGUGUAGCGGUGAAAUGCGUAGAGAUUAGGAAGAACAUCAGUGGCGAAGGCGGCUUUCUGGACUGUAACUGACGCUGAGGCAUGAAAGCGUGGGGAGCAAACAGG